UUAAAGGCUAAGAAAAGGAAGAGUAAAUAAGACCACUAUUAUAAGAGAGGAAAAUUCUCAGGCUGAAAAAUUUUCUUAAUAGUAUUUAUUGAAAACCACCUUAGAGCUGAAUACUGAAAUUAAGUAAGUAUUUCCGUUACCUGCGUUAAAGGAUCUCAAAGGAUAAUAAAAGCAAAAAUCUAUUAUCAAAUUUGGGUGGAACCACGAGAUACUCGUCCCAUUA
rnacentral:ncRNA from 1 species